UACAGAGGUCUCAAGCGUUGUUCGGAUUCAUUGGGCGUAAAGCGCACGUAGGCGGAUUUGUAAGUCAGGGGUGAAAUCCCGGGGCUCAACCCUGAAACUGCACUUGAUACUGCUCUGCUUGAGGACUGGAGAGGAGACUGGAAUUCACGGUGUAGCAGUGAAAUGCGUAGAGAUCGUGAGGAAGACCAGUGGCGAAGGCGGGUCUCUGGACAGUUCCUGACGCUGAGGCGCGAAGGCCAGGGGAGCAAACGGG
rnacentral:rRNA from 1 species